rnacentral:ncRNA from 2 species
CAUAUGAGACGGAAGCCGGAUUGUGUCACGGCCAGACGCCGUGUCCAGGGAAGAUGGUGCAAAGCCAUCGCUGCCCCGCAACUGUAAGCGGAACGAAAUCUGCAAACGCCACUGAGGCUAUGGCCUUGGGAAGGCGUGGAGAGUAGGUAUAUGCCGCAAGCCAGGAGAUCUGUUCGGCACUCCCGCUGAGG